AAGGAGCACUUCUCCACGAUGCGUCACACAGGUGAUUGUGGUCGUGGCAGAGGCCAUGUCGGACUCGAAUGUAGUCCGGUGGUUGCUCAUGGGUGGAACGCUGGCAUGUGCCUCGUGUAUCGGUUGGUCCUGUGUGGCCGGCUGGCGGGGAUGUAGUCGACACACUGUUGGGUCCUGAGAGAACACGCGAGUGACUCUCUAGGCGAAUACAUGAUCCGGAGGGGUCUCCUGCGAUACCGCUGGCUGUCGGUCGGUUGGUCCAGGGUUGAGGUUUCUUCGGGUGUGUUGUUUGAGAACUGCACAGUGGACGCGAGCAUCUUUGUUU
rnacentral:misc_RNA from 1 species